GUCUUCUGGGGCGUCUCAAGAAACACCAGUGAACCUAGUUGGCGACAUGGAAGUUAACAAAGAUGAAGCUCAAGUCACCUUCUCAGUCAAGUGGUCAGAGGGUAUUAAACCGCAGAAAGCUAAAGUAGAACUCCAAAAAGUUCUUCAGACUUGGGCCAACAGAACCAAAUGUAACCAAGACUACACAGUUUUAAAUGUCUUAGAGGAUGGGAGAGCUGUGAUAAAGAUUAAACCUGCUCCAGCCUUGAUUGAGCUUCAGAAACUGAGUGGAC